CACAUCCAGCACAAGCUCCCAUCCCGGCUUCCAGUGCUUUUCCUGGAGUGACUUCAAAAUACCUCCUCUCCCAAUCUCAGCAGUGAAGUGCUCUCAGGGAUGAGAGAAUUUCUCAGCAAAAGGGAGAAUCCCAUCCCAGUUGGCUGCCCAAGGCUACCAACAGACGGAAAGCUGCAUUCUCAAACCCUGGCCUAAC
rnacentral:lncRNA from 1 species